rnacentral:rRNA from 1 species
GUGGGGAAUAUUGGACAAUGGGGGGAACCCUGAUCCAGCCAUGCCGCGUGUGUGAAGAAGGCCUUUUGGUUGUAAAGCACUUUAAGCGAGGAGGAGGCUACCGAGAUUAAUACUCUUGGAUAGUGGACGUUACUCGCAGAAUAAGCACCGGCUAACUCUGUGUCAGCAGCCGCGGUAAUACAGAGGGUGCAAGCGUUAAUCGGAUUUACUGGGCGUAAAGCGCGCGUAGGUGGCCAAUUAAGUCAAAUGUGAAAUCCCCGAGCUUAACUUGGGAAUUGCAUUCGAUACUGGUUGGCUAGAGUAUGGGAGAGGAUGGUAGAAUUCCAGGUGUAGCGGUGAAAUGCGUAGAGAUCUGGAGGAAUACCGAUGGCGAAGGCAGCCAUCUGGCCUAAUACUGACACUGAGGUGCGAAAGCAUGGGGAGCAAACAGGAUUAGAUACCCUGGUAGUCC